CCGCAUUUUUCCCACAUUUUUUCAGGUCACGAACGAUAAUUUGCCUGAAAAACAUAAAUAUUUUGCCCUGAGAGGACCCAUAAAAAUUAUUGGAGGCCGCCCAAAGCCCAGGGGCGUCGAUUAUUUUUGCCAGUAGGGCAUGUUGGAGAUUUAUCGGUGUAGGGAUAAAUAGGGAUAGAUAUGGAUAAAUUGCCCGUUCGCGGGCUAGACGAUAAAAGUACGUUAUGUAAGUAAAUAUGUAAUGGUUCAAAGAUGGCGACGGGAAAAACGUACUAAAAACGUUAAACGUGAGAGAGUUGAUUUUGUUUGUUAAAGUUUGAGAUUUAUUAAAGGGAUUAUACAAUUGUGAGUGAGCAAUAACAUUUUGUGACUUAUCGUGGACACUCGGGAGGCGAAUUCACGAUA